GUGCCUUCGGGAACAUCUUAUAAAAUAGUAACGAUAUAGAGAAGAUCAGCAUGGCCUGUGCGCAAGGAUGACAUCGAGAAAUGGUCCUACAUGUA
rfam:Nicotiana sylvestris Nsyl_contig16096, whole genome shotgun sequence.